GAUGAACGCUAGCGGCAGGCCUAAUACAUGCAAGUCGAACGGUGUCUUCGGACAUAGUGGCGCACGGGUGCGUAACACGUAUGCAACCUACCUUACAUUGGGGGAUAGCCUUUCGAAGGGGAGAUUAAUACCGCAUAAGACAGUAACAUGGCAUCAUGUAGCUGUUAAAGAUUUAUCGAUGUAAGCUGGGCAUGCGUCCAAUUAGUUAGUUGGUGAGGUAACGGCUCACCAAGACGAUGAUUGGUAGGGGAACUGAGAGGUCAAUCCCCCACACUGGCACUGAGAUACGGGCCAGACUCCUACGGGAGGCAGCAGUAGGGAAUAUUGGGCAAUGGGCGCAAGCCUGACCCAGCCAUGCCGCGUGCAGGAAGAAGGCGUUCUGCGUUGUAAACUGCUUUUAUAUAGGAAGAAACGACCCUUGCGAGGGGCAUUGACGGUAUUAUAUGAAUAAGCACCGGCUAACUCCGUGCCAGCAGCCGCAGUAAAAC
rnacentral:rRNA from 1 species